rnacentral:rRNA from 1 species
AUUGAACGCUGGCGGCAGGCCUAACACAUGCAAGUCGAGCGGGGUUUUCGGACCUAGCGGCGGACGGGUGAGUAAUGCGUAGGAAGCUACCCGAUAGAGGGGGAUACCAGUUGGAAACGACUGUUAAUACCGCAUAACGUCUACGGACCAAAGUGUGGGACCUUCGGGCCACAUGCUAUCGGAUGCGCCUACGUGGGAUUAGCUAGUUGGUGGGGUAAUGGCUCACCAAGGCGACGAUCCCUAGCUGGUUUGAGAGGAUGAUCAGCCACACUGGAACUGAGACACGGUCCAGACUCCUACGGGAGGCAGCAGUGGGGAAUAUUGGACAAUGGGCGCAAGCCUGAUCCAGCCAUGCCGCGUGUGUGAAGAAGGCCUUCGGGUUGUAAAGCACUUUCAGUAGGGAGGAAGAGUUGAGUGUUAAUAGUACUCAGCUUUGACGUUACCUACAGAAGAAGCACCGGCUAACUCUGUGCAGCAGCCGCCGCGGUAAAAC